CGGACGGGUGAGUAACGCGUGGGUAACCUGCCUCAUACAGGGGGAUAACAGUUAGAAAUGACUGCUAAUACCGCAUAAGCGCACGGUGUCGCAUGACACAGUGUGAAAAACUCCGGUGGUAUGAGAUGGACCCGCGUCUGAUUAGGUAGUUGGUGGGGUAACGGCCUACCAAGCCGACGAUCAGUAGCCGACCUGAGAGGGUGACCGGCCACAUUGGGACUGAGACACGGCCCAA
rnacentral:rRNA from 1 species